rnacentral:misc_RNA from 1 species
GAAAACAGGCGGCAGCUCGCCCCCACUGCACGGCUUCCCACACAAACACAGACACACACACACACACAAUAUCCAUGCAGGAGGAAACGCCAUUAGCAUCUCUGACGGCGGCCGUGCCUGCAGGGCGCAUCGUCGCGCGCCUCUCGGCGACGCUGCAGCAGACAGAGCAAGCGUGCGCCGAGCUGUCGCGCCUUGAAAGCCUUCUAUCUUCUCUGUCGUGCGGUGCCGCAGAACUGGUUCGCGCCUCAGCAACGUCAGUCGAUACGGGGACGACCGAGACCUCGCAGGUGACGCGCAAUGCAGAUGACCGCACCGAAGAGGUGUAUCCAUCGCUCGAGGCCACGGGUGAACCCGCUACGUGCGAGUCGGAGGUUUGGCAGACCUGGCGCUCAACAGCGGAGGUUAGCAGCACCUUUCAUAGUAGCGGCCUCUCCACGUCCUUCUCCGCCCUUGAGCGAAGCGUCAGCGAUGCCAUGGUGCUUGCACUUCCCUCGAAACUUCAGCGAAUCACAGAUAAAUUGAAGCAGCUGCGCUCUACCCUCAGCGGGCGGGCGCGGCGCGCGCGACAGAGGCAGGUUCUUCCGCAUGUUAGGGCACGUUGGACGUGCGAGGCGGUUCGCGCGCUCCAUCAAAUCGCCCACGCCCCUCUAGAGCCGGAGUACGCCGAGGCCGCAAAACUGUCUGUUGCUGUGUCGUGUGAUUCCCUUCCCUCGACUCCACAAGAAGCGCACAAUCUUGGAAAGAGUGGCGCGCUCCCCGGAGCUGAUGACGCGGUUUGGUGGGAGUUGCACGCUGGGCUUCACGGCGUGCUGCACCGCACCGUUCCUUCCAGCGCGAGCUCGGCUCUGGGAAAGAGCGAGGAAGUUGCGGAGGGCCGUUUAGAGCUACAACGGCAACGCCUGCUCGCCCUACUGGAAGAGAUGACCGUGUGGCUUGUCGACGAUACACGUGCCACUCGCUGACUAGCCGUGCUCAUCUUUUCAGUGCGCAUCUGAUAACGCGAGCUCUGGCCGUCUUUGAAUUACUUGUGUGCGCUUUUCGUUUUUUAUCCUCCCGAGUUUUUCUUAAACGCCUGCUGCCCUCUGCUUCGUUGAUUGUUUUGUCGUCGUUUCGUUGAUGUCGCUGCAUCCGUUACGCUAGUG